UGAACGCUGGCGGCAGGCCUAACACAUGCAAGUCGAACGGUAACAGGAAGAAGCUUGCUUCUUUGCUGACGAGUGGCGGACGGGUGAGUAAUGUCUGGGAAACUGCCUGAUGGAGGGGGAUAACUACUGGAAACGGUAGCUAAUACCGCAUAACGUCGCAAGACCAAAGAGGGGGACCUUAGGGCCUCUUGCCAUCGGAUGUGCCCAGAUGGGAUUAGCUAGUAGGUGGGGUAAAGGCUCACCUAGGCGACGAUCCCUAGCUGGUCUGAGAGGAUGACCAGCCACACUGGAACUGAGACACGGUCCAGACUCCUACGGGAGGCAGCAGUGGGGAAUAUUGCACAAUGGGCGCAAGCCUGAUGCAGCCAUGCCGCGUGUAUGAAGAAGGCCUUCGGGUUGUAAAGUACUUUCAGCGGGGAGGAAGGUGUUGUGGUUAAUAACCACAGCAAUUGACGUUACCCGCAGAAGAAGCACCGGCUAACUCCGUGCCAGCAGCCGCGGUAAUACGGAGGGUGCAAGCGUUAAUCGGAAUUACUGGGCGUAAAGCGCACGCAGGCGGUCUGUCAAGUCGGAUGUGAAAUCCCCGGGCUCAACCUGGGAACUGCAUUCGAAACUGGCAGGCUUGAGUCUCGUAGAGGGGGGUAGAAUUCCAGGUGUAGCGGUGAAAUGCGUAGAGAUCUGGAGGAAUACCGGUGGCGAAGGCGGCCCCCUGGACGAAGACUGACGCUCAGGUGCGAAAGCGUGGGGAGCAAACAGGAUUAGAUACCCUGGUAGUCCACGCCGUAAACGAUGUCUAUUUGGAGGUUGUGCCCUUGAGGUGUGGCUUCCGGAGCUAACGCGUUAAAUAGACCGCCUGGGGAGUACGGCCGCAAGGUUAAAACUCAAAUGAAUUGACGGGGGCCCGCACAAGCGGUGGAGCAUGUGGUUUAAUUCGAUGCAACGCGAAGAACCUUACCUGGUCUUGACAUCCACAGAACUUUCCAGAGAUGGAGGGGUGCCUUCGGGAACUGUGAGACAGGUGCUGCAUGGCUGUCGUCAGCUCGUGUUGUGAAAUGUUGGGUUAAGUCCCGCAACGAGCGCAACCCUUAUCCUUUGUUGCCAGCGGUUAGGCCGGGAACUCAAAGGAGACUGCCAGUGAUAAACUGGAGGAAGGUAGGGAUGACGUCAAGUCAUCAUGGCCCUUACGACCAGGGCUACACACGUGCUACAAUGGCGCAUACAAAGAGAAGCGAACUCGCGAGAGCAAGCGGACCUCAUAAAGUGCGUCGUAGUCCGGACUGGAGUCUGCAACUCGACUCCAUGAAGUCGGAAUCGCUAGUAAUCGUGGAUCAGAAUGCCACGGUGAAUACGUUCCCGGGCCUUGUACACACCGCC
rnacentral:rRNA from 1 species